rnacentral:rRNA from 1 species
UACGUAGGUGGCAAGCGUUAUCCGGAAUUAUUGGCGUAAGCGCGCGCAGGUGGUUUCUUAAGUCUGAUGUGAAAGCCCACGGCUCAACCGUGGAGGGUCAUUGGAAACUGGGAGACUUGAGUGCAGAAGAGGAAAGUGGAAUUCCAUGUAGUAGCGGUGAAAUGCGUAGAGAUAUGGAGGAACACCAGUGGCGAAGGCGACUUCGUGGUCUGUA